GACGAACGCUGGCGGCGUGCUUAACACAUGCAAGUCGAACGGAAAGGCCCUGCUUUUGUGGGGUGCUCGAGUGGCGAACGGGUGAGUAACACGUGAGUAACCUGCCCUUGACUUUGGGAUAACUUCAGGAAACUGGGGCUAAUACCGGAUAGGAGCUCCUGCUGCAUGGUGGGGGUUGGAAAGUUUCGGCGGUUGGGGAUGGACUCGCGGCUUAUCAGCUUGUUGGUGGGGUAGUGGCUUACCAAGGCUUUGACGGGUAGCCGGCCUGAGAGGGUGACCGGCAACAUUGGGACUGGGAUACGGCCCAGACUCCUACGGGAGGAAGCAGUGGGGAAUAUUGCACAAUGGGCGGAAGCCUGAUGCAGCAACGCCGCGUGCGGGAUGACGGCCUUCGGGUUGUAAACCGCUUUCGCCUGUGACGAAGCGUGAGUGACGGUAAUGGGUAAAGAAGCACCGGCUAACUACGUG
rnacentral:rRNA from 1 species